rnacentral:rRNA from 1 species
UACGUAGGGCGCAAGCGUUGUCCGGAAUUAUUGGGCGUAAAGAGCUCGUAGGCGGUUUGUCGCGUCGAAUGUGAAAUCCCGGGGCUCAACCCCGGGCCUGCAUUCGAUACGGGCAGACUAGAGUUCGGUAGGGGAGUCUGGAAUUCCAGGUGUAGCGGUGAAAUGCGUAGAUAUCUGGAGGAACACCGAUGGCGAAGGCAGCCCCCUGGGCCAACACUGACGCUCAGGCACGAAAGCGUGGGGAGCAAACAGG